rnacentral:rRNA from 1 species
CCUACGGGUGGCAGCAGUGGGGAAUAUUGGACAAUGGGGGGAACCCUGAUCCAGCCAUGCCGCGUGUGUGAAGAAGGCCCUCGGGUUGUAAAGCACUUUCAGUGAGGAAGAACGCCUGGUGGUUAAUACCCAUCAGGAAAGACAUCACUCACAGAAGAAGCACCGGCUAACUCCGUGCCAGCAGCCGCGGUAAUACGGAGGGGGCGAGCGUUAAUCGGAAUUACUGGGCGUAAAGCGCGCGUAGGUGGCUUGAUAAGCCGGUUGUGAAAGCCCCGGGCUCAACCUGGGAACGGCAUCCGGAACUGUCAAGCUAGAGUGCAGGAGAGGAAGGUAGAAUUCCCGGUGUAGCGGUGAAAUGCGUAGAGAUCGGGAGGAAUACCAGUGGCGAAGGCGGCCUUCUGGACUGACACUGACACUGAGGUGCGAAAGCGUGGGUAGCAAACAGGAUUAGAUACCCGGGUAGUC